ACGGGGGGAGCAAGCGUUGUUCGGAUUCAUUGGGCGUAAAGGGCUCGUAGGUGGCUCUGUAAGUCUGAUGUGAAAGCCCACGGCUCAACCGUGGAGGGUCAUUGGAAACUGGGGGACUUGAGUGCAGAAGAGGAAAGUGGAAUUCCACGUGUAGCGGUGAAAUGCGUAGAGAUCGGGAGGAACAUCAGUGGCGAAGGCGGCCAUCUGGGACAACACUGACGCUGAAGCACGAAAGCGUGGGGAGCAAACAGGA
rnacentral:rRNA from 1 species